GUCGAGCGAAUCUGAUGGGAGCUUGCUCCCUGUCAGAUUACCGGCGGACGGGUGAGUACCCCGGGGGUAACCGGCCGGUAAAAUGGGAAUAACUCCGGGAAACCGGGGCUAAAACCGAAAACUUUUUUCCUCCCCUGGAAGGAAAUUUGAAGGGGGGUUCUAGCUACCCCUUACAAAUGGACCCCCGGCGCAUUACCUAGUUGGGGAGGUAACGGCUCCCCAAGGCAACAAUGCGUACCCAACUUGAAAGGGGGAUCGGCCCCCCUGGGACUGAAACCCGGCCCAAACUCCUACGGGAGGCAGCAGUAGGGAAUCUUCCCCAAGGGACAAAAGUCUGACGGACCAACCCCCCGGGAGGGAUGAAGGUUUUCGGAUCGUAAAACUUUGUUGUUAGGGAAAAACAAGUUUCGUUCGAAUAGGGGGGUACCUUGACGGUACCUAACCAAAAAGCCACGGUUAACUACUUGCCACCACCCGCGGAAAUACUUAGGGGGCAAGCGUUGUCCGGAAUAAUUGGGCGUAAGGGGGGCGCAGGCGGUUUCUUAAGUCGAAUGUGAAGGCCCACGGCUCACCCGGGGAGGGUCAUUGGAAACUGGAAAACUGGAUUGCAAAAAAGAAGACCGAAAUUCCCCGUGUACCGGUGAAAUGCGUAAAGAUGUGAAGGAACACCAUUGGCGAAGGCGGUUCUUUGGUCUGUAACUGACGCUGAGGGCGCGAAGGCGUGGGGGAGCGAACAGGAUUAGAUACCCUGUUAGUCCACGCCGUAAACGAUAAGUGCUAGUUGUUAAAGGGUUUCUGCCCUUUAGUGCUGCAGCUAACGCAUUAAGCACUNCGCCUGGGGAGUACGGCCGCAAGGCUGAAACUCAAAGGAAUUGACGGGG
rnacentral:rRNA from 1 species